UCUCUCUCUGUCUCUCUCUCUCUUUCUAGCCCUUUUCCCAUUCAUUUCCCUUACAUAACUGACUUACCAAGCAAAGAAGCCUGAGAACAGGUAUAGCAUACAGCCAUGGUACAAUUCCAUUUGUCAUGAAGUUUAUUUUUCUUGCACACUACCCUUCUCUUUUUUUACCGUACUCUCUUUUUAUUUCUCCAUCGGAACUUGAUCAUCAACGCCUGCAGAAACCAUACCCAGAUUCCAAAAUCAUAUCUUUUUAGUUCAAAUGUCGAAGAACCCAUCUCCACAAGACCAUGAAACCGUGCAAUUCUCUGAAAUUUUUAAGAAAUUCAAGCGUUUGAGACUUUUUGAGCCGUCUGUAGGGGUUUUGGGGUUCUUUUUGGUUACAGUUUGUGUGAUUUGUUGCUUCUUUUACUUAGAUUUCAGGUCUGUAAUUAAUAAGGUGUAUAGAGUUCCAGGUAAAUCAGAGAGGUUUAUGUGGCUGCAGAUUAAUGGGUCGGGUCCAAAUAGAAGAUUUGAGUUUUUGGGACAGGAGGGUGAUGGGUGUGAUGUGUUUGAUGGGGAGUGGGUGUGGGAUGAGAGUUAUCCAUUGUAUCACUCUAAAGAUUGCAGCUUCUUGGAUGAGGGGUUCAGGUGCACCGAAAAUGGCAGGCCUGAUUUGUUCUACACCAAAUGGAGAUGGCAACCAAAGCACUGCAACUUGCCCAGAUUUGAUGCUAAAACGAUGUUGGAGAAACUGCGCAACAAACGGCUAGUGUUUGCUGGAGAUUCAAUUGGAAGGAAUCAAUGGGAGUCCCUUAUGUGUAUGCUGUCUUCUGCAGUUCCUAAUGAGGACUCCAUCUACGAAGUGAAUGGCAGUCCAAUUACCAAGCAUAAAGGAUUUUUGGUUUUCAAGUUUCAGGAUUAUAAUUGCACUGUGGAGUACUAUAGGUCUCCAUUUCUUGUAUUGCAGAGUCGGCCUCCUGCUGGUGUUCCAGGAAAUGUUAGAUUAACCCUAAAAUUGGAUCAAAUGGAUUGGAACUCUGGCAAGUGGAGAGAUGCCGACAUACUGGUCCUCAACAUGGGGCACUGGUGGAAUUAUGAGAAAACCAUAAGAGGGUAAAAUGAUCCUGUUAUUCUUGUAGUUGUAGACUUGCAACCUUUCAUUUAUGUUGUAUGAGCUUUUACUUAUCUAGUUUUGUUAUUUACAACAUUUCAUUGAAGAAAACUACUUAGACAUAGGUAACUGUCAAAUAAGAAUUUGAAUUCGAUUAGAUCAAGAUGUUAAUGUUUAAAAAGAAAGUGAAAACCAAUUAUUUGAUUAAUUUUUUAUGCUAUUUUAUUGUGAGUGGAGACUAGCAUGAUCAGUUGCUUCCUGUGAGGAAUCCUAGAAUGGAAAAAAUCUAUUUCAUGGCUGAUAAAUGACUAUUAUGUAAUAGAUUUGGAUCAAUCAAGGCCAACAUGGACCAUGGAGGUGAUACUGCAACACCUAUAUUUGUUGUUGGUGGGUACUUAUAUUCUUUUCAAAUGAUGAUUGAAGAAAAAUGGACCAUGGAGGUCAUUUUAAUUCAGAUUUUGAUAAGAUUUGCUUAUAUCUGUGUUCAAUCAGUGAAUAGUGAUGUGACCUUUUUGUCUUAAUCUUUUGAAUAUACAAGGGAAAUAAUUGGCUUGAAGGAUAAGGCCAAUUGUGAAUAAUUUCAAUUGACUGUCCUUAAUUUUCAAUUUAUUGCUCAGAGGUACCUACUUUCAAGAGGGGACAGAGGUGAAAUUGGAAAUGAGGGUCGAACAAGCAUACCACAGGUCAAUUGAGACUGUCUUUCAGUGGAUACAGAAUCAAGUGAAUACAAGCAAGACCCAAGUUUUCUUCCGCACAUUUGCCCCUGUGCAUUUCAGAGGCGGAGACUGGAGGACAGGGGGAAGCUGUCACUUGGAGACAUUGCCUGAGCUUGGUUCAUCAUUGGUGCCAUCUGAAACCUGGGCUCAAUACAAAAUAUUUGCUGAUGUGCUAUCAGCUUACUCAAACCAAGAAUUAAAAUUUGAUAUAUUGAAUAUAACCAGGAUGUCUGCACAAAGAAAAGAUGGGCAUUCAUCUGUAUACUAUCAUCAUUCACAACCUGCGCCAUUUCAUCGACAAGACUGCAGCCAUUGGUGCCUGCCUGGGGUCCCUGACUCAUGGAAUGAGCUCCUCUAUGCACUGCUAUUAAAGCACAAACCUAUGAAGACGUACAACAUAUCCUCAUAUAGAGCAUACAGUUUUGAUUAAGAUAAAGCUUUGAUUUAUAUGCCAUUGCCAACACUAAAGCCAGGAGCUAGAUGCUUAGAAAUGACUCCAAUUUUCCUGCAGUAGAUAGAAGAUAAGAACAUGCACAGUGAAUUUUGUUAUAGUUUGGCAGAAAAGUUAAAAAACAGAUACUGUACUGUGGAUUUUGAUAGUGAGAUUAAAGAUAUGAGCUGAGUGGAUAUUUGUGCUGGAUUUUGGCUGAAGAUUUUGGGAAUAAAAUGACUAAAUUGUAGAGAUAUAUUCAAGAAUAGGGUUGUUGUGAUUACAAUCAAGUGGUGUAAUUUCAUUGAGGGAAAUGUAAUUAACAAUUCUUUGUCUGUCAAUGCCAAUAAUAAUAAGAGAAGGGUGUGGAUAUGAAAAUGGA
rnacentral:misc_RNA from 1 species